UCACACAGGUCUCGUGGACCAGAUAGAAGUU
rnacentral:piRNA from 2 species